AAUCCUUCCUGUACUA
rnacentral:tRNA from 1 species